UGUUGAGAUUAUAAAGCAAAAAGAUGGGAGGAGCAAGGGCUUUGCGUUUGUGACUAUGGCCUCUGGGGAGGAAGCUCAGGCUGUUAUUGAUAAAUUUGACUCUCAUGAACUUUCAGGGAGGAUUAUUAGGGUUGAAUUUGCAAAGAGGUUCAGGAAACCCUCUCCUCCACUUCCUCCAGGCACUCCUGCCCGGGAGACCCGACAUAAGCUCUAUGUUUCCAAUCUUGCUUGGAAAGUUAGAGCAACUCAUCUGAGGGACUUUUUCUCUGCUAAUUUCAACCCGAUUUCAAGUAGAGUUGUCUUUGACAGCCCUUCUGGAAGAUCUGCUGGCUAUGGGUUUGUUUCAUUUGCCACACAGGAGGAGGCAGUUGCUGCUAUAUCUGCUCUUGAUGGAAAGGAAUUAAUGGGUCGACCGCUUCAGCUGAAAUUCAGUGAAAGAAAGGCUGAUGAAUCUGGAAGUGCAACGCAAGAGGAAGUAAUAUAAAUACCCAUCAUUUGGUAACCAUGCCUUUGGUUUGCUGAUCGACGGUACAAAUAAAGCAGCAGCAGCGGAUAUGGCAAAAAAUUAU
rnacentral:misc_RNA from 1 species